GUUCGUUCCAUUCAUAAAGCAUUCCUUUAUUUGGUCCAAACAUCCCUUGCUUUCGAUUUUCACCAUGAUGUGCAACCUGUUAAACGAACCACAGGGUUUUGAAAUAAUAACACACACCGUGCGGACAACGAAAGUGCACCACUCCACCUGAAGAUUUACCGGUUAGUAAAAAAAUGCAAAUUUAACCAAAAUGGUUAAAUUUUGUAAAUACCUCCACAUUUUUUUAUUCUUUUAAACAACUUUGGAUAAAUGUCCUUAAACAAACAUAGUUCAUGCAGGUUGUUGACAACAUCCUCGGUGGAACCGGUGCAUGAAACUCCCAAUUGGUUGCAUAAUACCUUUAAUGAUUUCUGAGUACAAAAUGUAAUGUACCUUCCAAGAAAAAUUGUUAAAUAUAUGUCAAAAAAUGUUCAUUUACCGCAUCCUUUUUGUGUAAGGCGUCCAGAAUUUCCUCCUGAGACACUACAAAUUUUGUUGGCUUUAAUUUUGUUUGUUUUAACAUGGAACAUUUUUUAUGUUCCGUGUCCAGAAUAUAAUCAGAUGCUCGUGAAUAUUUCCCAAUCCAUGGUGAAACAGCAUUGUAUUUUAUAUCCAAUUUAAAAGGAUUAUUGGCACUUUCUGUAGAACACAAAAACAAAAAUUGAAUUACAGUCACUUUAACUAA